rnacentral:lncRNA from 1 species
GUCAUAGGAGGGGCUACUGGAGGAUGACCGGAUCGGAGGGUCAGUGUUGAGUGUUCUGUGAGGAGGUGAGGCCUGGCCAAAAGAGGUGGGUCACUGGGAACAUGACCCGGAAGCGUUUAUCUCUUCUCUCUGUACCGCAUUUCCUGGCUAACAAGACCCGAGCAGCUUUUCCUCCACCGACGUUUCACCAUGCCUUUCGAUGCCCACCAUGUCCAGUGUUGCAUCCCAACAACAAGAAAGUGACCGAGACGCCCUCUGAGGCUCUCAGUGGCCGGAGCCUCAGCUGCAGCUCCCCUCAGGCUGUGCCCUGGAGCUGUGCCAAGGAGACUCCUUUCCAAAGUCCCCGCGUGUGCAGAGGAGGAUCCCUUCUUACGCCAGACACGCAGGCGGUGGGGAAGGAGGAAAUUGGAGAUAGCCACGAAAAAAAGGAAACCGAAAUGAAAAGUGACAUCACUACAAUCCUAACGCCUCCCGUGUGGCAAAGGAGGUAGCAGCUAGUGGCCCAGUGCCCUGGACCCCUGGCUGAGAAAGCUCCGUUCUGGCCGUAUGAGCACCUGCUCCCCUCCCUCCCCCAGAGUCUGGUGCUAGACGCCACCUGUGCACAAACCUGGACACAUCUAAGCCCAAUCCAAACCCACCUCUUCCAAGCGGCCUUCUCUGACAGCAUCUUUCCUCGCUCGUUCCCAACUCUAUUUCAAAUUUGUCACCCAACUUAACACUUGCUUCUGUGCGACACUGUAUUGAUCUUUAAUCUUGUAAUCCAGAUAUACAGCAUACCACCUGCAUUUUUGCCCUGUGGCAACCCCAAGUGAAUUUGACUUUUUUUUUCAACUCAAGGAACUGUGCAGCAUUCACUUUGUUUUUUACAAACCCGGAAACAGGAGCUCAGAAGUUAAGGGAUAGGCCCGCCUGGCACCACACAGC